GGAGUGGGUCAAAGGCCAACCCAGACGCAGUCUUGCAAGCACUGACAGAUUCCUUUGCGUUCCCGCAGCCGUGCCUGCGAGGGUACCUCCUCACAGCCUCACCCCUGUGAGGUGUGAUGCACCUGCUGACCCACCGAGACUGCAGGAUACUGCCAGUAUGAGGGCUGAGGAAUGACGUCUCCCUGCAAUUUUCACUGGCAUUUUUCUGACUAUGAAGGUGCUUGAGCCUCUUUUCGUGGCAUUAAAGAGACAUUUGUAAGGAUCUUUCUGUAAACUGUUCAUAUGUUUUCUAAAUUUUUCUGAUUUUACCCCUAGAGUUUUAGGAACUCUUUUUGUAUGUGCAGAAAUCAGCCCUUUGGCUCAUAAGCUUCCAUUUCCCUCCAAGUUUGUCACUUCUCUUUUGACCUCCUUUCUUCCUUCUUUUCUCUUUCCCUGUCUCCCUUUCUCUGUGUGUGUCUGUGUGUGCAUCUGUGUGUGUUUCUGUAUGUGUGUGUCUGUGUGUCUCUGUGUCUCUGUGUGUGUCUCUGUGUGUCUCUGUGUGUGUGUCUGUGUGUCUCUCUGUGUGUGUCUGUGUCUGUGUGUCUGUGUCUGUGUGUCUUUGUGUGUCUCUGUGUGUGUCUCUGUGUGUCUGUGUGUUUGUGUGUGUCUGUGUGUCUCUGUAAUGUGUGUCUCUCUGUGUGUCUGUGUGUGUCUCUGUGUAUAUGUCUCUGUGUGUGUCUGUAUGUGUCUGUGUGUGUGUGUGUCUCUGUGUCUGUGUGUGUGUCUCUGUGUGUGUCUAUGUGUGUGUGUCUCUCUGUCUUUGUGUGUGUCUGUAUGUGUGUGUGUCUGUGUCUGUGUGUGUCUGUGUGUGUCCCUGUGUGUGUCUCUGUAAUGUGUCUGUGUGUCUGUGUGUGUCUCUGUGCAUAUGUCUCUGUGUGUGUGUCUGUAUGUGUGUGUGUCUGUGUGUCUCUAUGUGUGUCUCUGUAAUGUGUGUGUCUCUGUGUGUGUGUCUGUGUGUGUCUCUGUGUCUUUGUGUGUGUCUGUAUGUGUAUGUGUGUCUCUCUGUGUGUCUCUGUGUGUGUCUGUGUGUGUGUCUCUGUGUCUCUGUGUGUCUGUGUGUGUGUCUGUGUGUGUGUCUGUGUGUGUCUCUGUGUGUCUGUGUGUCUGUGUGUGUCUCUCUGUGUGUGUCUCUGUGUGUGUGUCUGUAUGUGUGUUUGUCUCUCUCUGUGUGUCUGUGUGUGUCUAUAUGUGUGUGUGUCUCUGUGUGUGUCUCUGUGUGUCUCUGUGUGUGUCUGUAUCUGUGUUUGUCUCUCUGUGUGUGUCUGUGUGUUUCUGUGUCUGUAUGUGUGUCUCUCUGUGUGUGUCUCUGUGUGUGUCUCUGUGUGUGUCUCUGUGUCUGUAUGUGUGUAUGUCUCUCUGUGUGUGUCUCUGUGUGUCUCUGUGUGUCUGUAUGUGUGUGUCUUUGUGUGUCUCUGUAUGUGUGUGUGUCUCUCUGUGUGUCUGUGUUUGUGUGUCUGUGUGUGUGUCUGUGUGUGUGUCUGUGUGUUUGUCUCUGUCUGUGUGUGUGUGUCUGUGUGUGUGUCUGUGUGUGUGUCUGUGUGUGUCUGUGUGUGUGUCUGUGUGUGUGUCUGUGUGUGUCUGUGUGUGUGUCUGUAUGUGUGUUUGUCUCUGUGUGUCUGUGUGUAUGUGUCUGUGUGUGUCUGUGUGUGUGUCUGU
ensembl:lincRNA